ensembl:lncRNA
CUCCGCAUCCACAUCGCCCAGCGGGGCGAGGAGCUCGCCGUGCUGGAGGUGAGCAGCCGCCCCCGUCCCCCGCCGGCGCCCGCCGGUCCCCGUCCCCGGGGCCCCCCCUGAGCCCGUCCCCCUUGUCCCACCGGCCAGACCCGCUCGGACGAGGAGAGGGAGGCCUGGCUGAAGACCCUGCGGACCAGGGGAGGAGCGGAGCCAGCCUGCGAGCGGACCCACGCCGGCAGCCCCAGCCCGGGAGAUGCCAGCGGCUGCCCGGCUGCGGGCGGGCUGCUGCUGCGCCGCUUCCCGACCCCCAACGCCUACAUGGACGACCCCUUCGGGCAGCUCCCGCCAGCCGCAUCCCCCGACCCCGUCUACUCCAACGCGGAGCGGCUGCAGCAGCUGCAGCAGAGCUUGGACCGCGCAGCCCACAGGCAGCACAGGAGACCCCUGUCCGCCGUGCCCGCCGGUGCCUACAGCAACGCUCCCGGCAGGGCCGUGCCGUCGCAGGCAGCGUGCGCUGCGCCUCGCCUGGGCAAGGCUGCCAGCCAGCAGCGGGUGGAGGUGAGCCCAGAGCUCAAGAACAGGGAUUUCUUCCGGUCCCAGCGCACGCUGACGCUUCCCGAGAGGAAAGGGGCUCGGGACGGCUUGGAUUUCCUCAUCGGGAAGAGAGCCUUCCCCAAGCUGGAGGAGAAGGUGGGGCAGCUGGAGAGGGCCUGCCGCGUCAAGAGCAGGCUCAAAGCCGGCUCCGAGAUGAACCUGCUGGCCAUCGGCAAGUCACUCAAGGGCCACAUAGCCGCCACCACGAGCUCGGCCGGCUCCGAGGGCUCCUUCUUCACGCCGCUCCUGAAGCGCACGGCAUCCGCGAAGAGCGCCCUGAAGCGAGCUCCCUCCGUGGUCAUCAUCGAAAAGGGGAAGGUGCUGCAGAAGAGAAAGGAGUGGGAGAUGAAGUCUGCCAUGUGACCAGCCCCUCGUGCCAGCGCCGCGUCCCCAAGGGCAGGAUCCGCCACGCACACGUACCCUGCCGGUCUGGGCAUCUCUCGGCACAUUAACGCUGCACGUGGAUCGUGCAGGACCAGCUUGGUAUCUGUGUGUUUUUUUUUUUUAACCAUUGGUAUCAACGCUAUAACUACAUGUAUCUAUUUUUUAUAUAUAUUAUAUAUAUAUAUAAACUUCCUGCCUGUGGGUUUCCCGUUUCUCUGCCGUGGUGCUGAGGGAGGGCAGCCCUUUGCCGGCCCGCUGCCUUCUCCCCCUCCCUGACCCCGGGUCAGGACUGCUCCCAGCAGCCUCGCACCUUGGGCCCAAUUUUCCGGCUGCAACCUCAUCUGCCGCCAGCUCUGUCCCUGGUGCAGAUCCUGUCGAAAACGGUGCCCAGGCAGCGCCGCCGGCUCCUUUGGAUGCACCCGAGGACCAAGCCACCAGGGGCAGAUGCAGAAGGGCAGCGGCUCUGCAAGGAGAGGGGCCGUCAGGUGCGAGUUUACCCGUUGGAGGAGGAAGGGGACACCUUGUUUCUGUGCCCCGGCCCCCAGUAGCGACAGGCUGGUGCCCUGCCACAGCAUCGUGCCCGCAGCGGGGCCGGAGGAGACUGUGGGCUCCCAGACCGGUACCAGGCCUUUUUGGCACCCAGCCUGUUUUCCAUGCGCUCUGUUCACCAGGCUGCAGCCCUGAGCUGCUUAAAAGCACCUGGGUUGUGUUUGUUGUUGUUGUUUUUAAUUGUAGAAACAUUUUGUAAGGAUUAAAAAAACAAACAAACAAACAAACCUGGCUUCUACCAGAUCGUGCCGCGGGAAGAGGUGAGCCGGGCCGUGCCCCUGAGCAGUGCGUCCCCCCACCUGCAGCAGGCCGCUUGUUUUAUUUCUUUCACCGCACAAGGGAGCAUGUCACAGCGGUGCUCUUAUUCGUCUCUGCGUGGCGUGCGCGAGGGUCUCCCUCCCCCUGUCCCGGUGCGAGGUGUGCACAGGGG